rnacentral:snRNA from 2 species
AGCUGUGUGGUGAGCACAAAGCGAACUAUUCUUUCGCCUUUUACUGAAGAAUACCGUGUGCACGCCAUAAAAAAACAGCCUACUCUAAUUUUUAGAGGGUGCUUUCUCCUUGAUUGAGAAAG